CGGCCGUGAAAACCUGCAGCUUAACUGUGGGCGUGCGGUCGAUACGGGCAGACUUCAGUUCGGCAGGGGAGACUGGAAUUCCUGGUGUAGCGGUGAAAUGCGCAGAUAUCAAGAGGAACACCGGGUGGCGAAAGCGGGUCUCUGGGCCGAUACUGACGCUGAGGAGCGAAAGCAUGGGGAGCGAACAGGAUUAGAUACCCUGGUAGUCCAUGCCGUAAACGUUGGGCGCUAGGUGUGGGGAUGGGUUCCACCGUUUCCGUGCCGUAGCUAACGCAUUAAGCGCCCCGCCUGGGGAGUACGGCCGCAAGGCUAAAGCUCAAAGGAAUUGACGGGGGCCCGCACAAGCGGCGGAGCAUGUGGAUUAAUUCGAUGCAACGCGAAGAACCUUACAUGGGUUUGACAUGCACUAGACAGCCGUAGAGAUACGGUUUCCCUUGUGGUUGGUGUACAGGUGGUGCAUGGCUGUCGUCAGCUCGUGUCGUGAGAUGUUGGGUUAAGUCCCGCAACGAGCGCAACCCUUACCCUACGUUGCCAGCGGGUUAUGCCGGGGACUCGUGUGGGGACUGUCCGGGGUCAACUCGGAGGAAGGUGGGGAUGACGUCAAGUCAUCAUGCCCCUUAUGCCCAGGGCUUCACACAUGCUACAAUGGCUGGUACAGAGGGCUGCGAUACCGUGAGGUGGAGCGAACCCCUUAAAGCCGGUCUCAGUUCGGAUCGGGGUCUGCAACUCGACCCCGUGAAGUCGGAGUCGCUAGUAAUCGUAGAUCAGC
rnacentral:rRNA from 1 species